rnacentral:rRNA from 1 species
GAUGAACGCUGGCGGCGUGCCUAAUACAUGCAAGUCGAGCGAACAGACGAGGAGCUUGCUCCUCUGACGUUAGCGGCGGACGGGUGAGUAACACGUGGAUAACCUACCUAUAAGACUGGGAUAACUUCGGGAAACCGGAGCUAAUACCGGAUAAUAUAUUGAACCGCAUUGUUCAAUAGUGAAAGACGGGUUUGCUGUCACUUAUAGAUGGAUCCGCGCCGCAUUAGCUAGUUGGUAAGGUAACGGCUUACCAAGGCAACGAUGCGUAGCCGACCUGAGAGGGUGAUCGGCCACACUGGAACUGAGACACGGUCCAGACUCCUACGGGAGGCAGCAGUAGGGAAUCUUCCGCAAUGGGCGAAAGCUUGACGGAGCAACGCCGCGUGAGUGAUGAAGGUCUUCGGAUCGUAAAACUCUGUUAUUAGGGAAGAACAAAUGUGUAAGUAACUAUGCACGUCUUGACGGUACCUAAUCAGAAAGCCACGGCUAACUACGUG